CGGGGUGCAGCAGGCGCGAAAACUUUACAAUGCCGGCAACGGCGAUAAGGGAACCUCGAGUGCCAGGUUACAAAUCUGGCUGUCGUGAUGCCUAAAAAGCAUUGCAUAGCAAGGGCCGGGCAAGACCGGUGCCAGCCGCCGCGGUAACACCGGCGGCUCGAGUGGUAACCGUUAUUAUUGGGUCUAAAGGGUCUGUAGCCGGCCGGGUAAGUCUCUUGGGAAAUCUGGCAGCUUAACUGUCAGGCUUUCAGGAGAUACUGCCUGGCUCGAGGCCGGGAGAGGUGAGAGGUACUUCAGGGGUAGGGGUGAAAUCUUGUAAUCCUUGAAGGACCACCAGUGGCGAAGGCGUCUCACCAGAACGGACCUGACGGCAAGGGACGAAAGCUAGGGGCACGAACCGGAUUAGAUACCCGGGUAGUCCUAGCCGUAAACGAUACUCGCUAGGUGUCGGCCACGGUGCGACCGUGGUCGGUGCCGUAGGGAAGCCGUGAAGCGAGCCACCUGGGAAGUACGGCCGCAAGGCUGAAACUUAAAGGAAUUGGCGGGGGAG
rnacentral:rRNA from 1 species